GACGAACGCUGGCGGCGUGCUUAACACAUGCAAGUCGAGCGGUAAGGCCCUUCGGGGUACACGAGCGGCGAACGGGUGAGUAACACGUGGGUGACCUGCCUCUAGCUCUGGGAUAAGCCUGGGAAACUGGGUCUAAUACCGGAUAUGACUCCACGGCGCAUGUUGUGGGGUGGAAAGCCUUGUGUGGCUAGAGAUGGGCCCGCGGCCUAUCAGCUUGUUGGUGGGGUGAUGGCCUACCAAGGCGACGACGGUAGCCGGCCUGAGAGGGCGACCGGCCACACUGGGACUGAGACGCGGCCCAGACUCCUACGGGAGGCAGCAGUGGGGAAUCUUGCGCAA
rnacentral:rRNA from 1 species